rnacentral:rRNA from 1 species
UUUGGUUAAGUUAGAAAGGGCGCACGGUGGAUGCCUUGACACUAGGAGUCGAUGAAGGACGGGACUAACGCCGAUAUGCUUCGGGGAGCUGUAAGUAAGCUUUGAUCCGAAGAUUUCCGAAUGGGGAAACCCACCAUACGUAAUGGUAUGGUAUCCUUAUCUGAAUACAUAGGGUAAGGAAGACAGACCCAGGGAACUGAAACAUCUAAGUACCUGGAGGAAGAGAAAGCAAAUGCGAUUUCCUGAGUAGCGGCGAGCGAAACGGAACAUAGCCCAAACCAAGAGGCUUGCCUCUUGGGGUUGUAGGACAUUCUAUACGGAGUUACAAAGGAACGAGGUAGACGAAGCGACCUGGAAAGGUCCGUCGUAGAGGGUAACAACCCCGUAGUCGAAACUUCGUUCUCUCUUGAAUGUAUCCUGAGUACGGCGGAACACGUGAAAUUCCGUCGGAAUCUGGGAGGACCAUCUCCCAAGGCUAAAUACUCCCUAGUGAUCGAUAGUGAACCAGUACCGUGAGGGAAAGGUGAAAAGCACCCCGGAAGGGGAGUGAAAGAGAUCCUGAAACCGUGUGCCUACAAAUAGUCAGAGCCCGUUAACGGGUGAUGGCGUGCCUUUUGUAGAAUGAACCGGCGAGUUACGAUCCCGUGCGAGGUUAAGCUGAAGAGGCGGAGCCGCAGCGAAAGCGAGUCUGAAUAGGGCGUUUAGUACGUGGUCGUAGACCCGAAACCAGGUGAUCUACCCAUGUCCAGGGUGAAGUUCAGGUAACACUGAAUGGAGGCCCGAACCCACGCACGUUGAAAAGUGCGGGGAUGAGGUGUGGGUAGCGGAGAAAUUCCAAUCGAACCUGGAGAUAGCUGGUUCUCCCCGAAAUAGCUUUAGGGCUAGCCUUAAGUGUAAGAGUCUUGGAGGUAGAGCACUGAUUGGACUAGGGGUCCUCAUCGGAUUACCGAAUUCAGUCAAACUCCGAAUGCCAAUGACUUAUCCUUAGGAGUCAGACUGCGAGUGAUAAGAUCCGUAGUCAAAAGGGAAACAGCCCAGACCGCCAGCUAAGGUCCCAAAGUGUGUAUUAAGUGGAAAAGGAUGUGGAGUUGCUUAGACAACUAGGAUGUUGGCUUAGAAGCAGCCACCAUUUAAAGAGUGCGUAAUAGCUCACUAGUCGAGUGACUCUGCGCCGAAAAUGUACCGGGGCUAAAUACACCACCGAAGCUGCGGAUUGAUACCAAUGGUAUCAGUGGUAGGGGAGCGUUCUAAGGACAGUGAAGUCAGACCGUAAGGACUGGUGGAGUGCUUAGAAGUGAGAAUGCCGGUAUGAGUAGCGAAAGACGGGUGAGAAUCCCGUCCACCGAAUGCCUAAGGUUUCCUGAGGAAGGCUCGUCCGCUCAGGGUUAGUCAGGACCUAAGCCGAGGCCGACAGGCGUAGGCGAUGGACAACAGGUUGAUAUUCCUGUACCACCUCUUUAUCGUUUGAGCAAUGGAGGGACGCAGAAGGAUAGAAGAAGCGUGCGAUUGGUUGUGCACGUCCAAGCAGUUAGGCUGAUAAGUAGGCAAAUCCGCUUAUCGGAGCUGAGCUGUGAUGGGGAAGCUCCUUAUGGAGCGAAGUCUUUGAUUCCCCGCUGCCAAGAAAAGCUUCUAGCGAGAUAAAAGGUGCCUGUACCGCAAACCGACACAGGUAGGCGAGGAGAGAAUCCUAAGGUGUGCGAGAGAACUCUGGUUAAGGAACUCGGCAAAAUGACCCCGUAACUUCGGGAGAAGGGGUGCUUUCUUAACGGAAAGCCGCAGUGAAUAGGCCCAAGCGACUGUUUAGCAAAAACACAGCUCUCUGCGAAGCCGUAAGGCGAAGUAUAGGGGGUGACACCUGCCCGGUGCUGGAAGGUUAAGGAGAGGGGUUAGCGUAAGCGAAGCUCUGAACUGAAGCCCCAGUAAACGGCGGCCGUAACUAUAACGGUCCUAAGGUAGCGAAAUUCCUUGUCGGGUAAGUUCCGACCCGCACGAAAGGUGUAACGAUUUGGGCACUGUCUCAACCAGAGACUCGGUGAAAUUAUAGUACCUGUGAAGAUGCAGGUUACCCGCGACAGGACGGAAAGACCCCGUGGAGCUUUACUGUAGCCUGAUAUUGAAUUUUGGUACAGUUUGUACAGGAUAGGCGGGAGCCAUUGAAACCGGAGCGCUAGCUUCGGUGGAGGCGCUGGUGGGAUACCGCCCUGACUGUAUUGAAAUUCUAACCUACGGGUCUUAUCGACCCGGGAGACAGUGUCAGGUGGGCAGUUUGACUGGGGCGGUCGCCUCCUAAAGUGUAACGGAGGCGCCCAAAGGUUCCCUCAGAAUGGUUGGAAAUCAUUCGUAGAGUGCAAAGGCAUAAGGGAGCUUGACUGCGAGACCUACAAGUCGAGCAGGGACGAAAGUCGGGCUUAGUGAUCCGGUGGUUCCGCAUGGAAGGGCCAUCGCUCAACGGAUAAAAGCUACCCCGGGGAUAACAGGCUUAUCUCCCCCAAGAGUCCACAUCGACGGGGAGGUUUGGCACCUCGAUGUCGGCUCAUCGCAUCCUGGGGCUGUAGUCGGUCCCAAGGGUUGGGCUGUUCGCCCAUUAAAGCGGUACGCGAGCUGGGUUCAGAACGUCGUGAGACAGUUCGGUCCCUAUCCGUCGUGGGCGUAGGAAAUUUGAGAGGAGCUGUCCUUAGUACGAGAGGACCGGGAUGGACGCACCGCUGGUGUACCAGUUGUUCUGCCAAGGGCAUAGCUGGGUAGCUAUGUGCGGAAGGGAUAAGUGCUGAAAGCAUCUAAGCAUGAAGCCCCCCUCAAGAUGAGAUUUCCCAUAGCGUAAGCUAGUAAGAUCCCUGAAAGAUGAUCAGGUUGAUAGGUUCGAGGUGGAAGCAUGGUGACAUGUGGAGCUGACGAAUACUAAUAGAUCGAGGACUUAACCAUAUAA